rnacentral:rRNA from 1 species
UACGAAGGGGGCUAGCGUUGCUCGGAAUCACUGGGCGUAAAGGGUGCGUAGGCGGGCCUUUAAGUCAGGGGUGAAAUCCUGGAGCUCAACUCCAGAACUGCCUUUGAUACUGAGGAUCUUGAGUUCGGGAGAGGUGAGUGGAACUGCGAGUGUAGAGGUGAAAUUCGUAGAUAUUCGGAAGAACACCAGUGGCGAAGGCGACUUACUGGACACAUAUUGACGCUGAGGUGCGAAAGCGUGGGGAGCAAACAGG